rnacentral:lncRNA from 1 species
UGAUAGAAGCCACAACUGAAUCCAUGCCUGGAAGUGCUUCUCAGAUGCAGAGAUGGCAGCGGAGGAUUGAAACAGUGUUGAUGGAGGAAGGCGCUCAAAGUGUUUGAUGGAAAUCCGGUGGUGAAUGGCUUUGGUGUAGUGGUGAAUUCUAACUCAGAUAGCUUUCCUAAGGGGAAAGGAGCUAGAGGAUAGGCAAGAUAACAUUGCACAAGAGUGAACUUGAGAAUGAAAG